GAGUACCACCUCUUGGUGACGACGGUUCCACCGUACCAGGUCCGUCACAGGUGGUGUCAUCACCCUCUCGGACCUUAGUGACAGUGGGUGGACCGACAACCGGUUCAUGGUUCUUCGUCCUUCGACGGACUCGACGACUUCUACAAACCACAACUGUUCCUACAGGGACGGGUCGACACCCCCGGAGCACCAGUUCCAGAUCCCUCCCAGACCUCACAGGUACCCCUCAAG
rnacentral:lncRNA from 1 species